rnacentral:rRNA from 1 species
UACGUAGGUGGCAAGCGUUGUCCGGAUUUACUGGGCGUAAAGAGCGCGCAGGCGGUCGUUCAAGUCGCGUGUGAAAGCCCCCGGCUCAACUGGGGAGGGUCACGCGAUACUGAUCGACUCGAAGGCAGGAGAGGGAAGUGGAAUUUCCGGUGUAGCGGUGAAAUGCGUAGAUAUCGGAAGGAACAUCAGUGGCGAAAGCGACUUCCUGGACCAGUACCGACGUUCAGGCACGAAAGCGUGGGGAGCAAACAGG